ensembl:lncRNA
AUGAUUACACUGGAUAUAGGCCAAUUCCUGAGAGCUCGCAAUCCUCUCUGUUGCGCGCGGCCGCUCUCGCUCUCCUUCAAAGGCUCGCUGCCAAACAUGCAGCAGUUUCCAUGGCGACGGCGAGCGGAACAUAAAAAGCAGGGCGGUGCUACAUGCAGAUUCAUAUUCCCAUCAGCUCAACAGGGAAUAAUGGGAAUAGAAGCAGUCUGGGAUUCCGAUGAAAGCAGGAGUGGAAAUACGUGUGGAGACACCCUGCACUCCCAAACACAACCUCUGCUUAUCACUGGUUUAAAAUGGUUAACCCUCAAUAUCUCGCCUGCCCAGCUAACGAGGGACUUCUCAGAUCUUUUUCAGUAUCUUGGCAUCAUGUUGACAAAGUUUGGUGUGAAUUGUAUCAUUUUCGCAAGAGUAGUAUGCAGCUAUAUUUUUCCAAAGAUCCAUAUUCAAACCAAAAUUAACAUUCUGGCAAGAUUACAUCAAAGUUAUGAACAAACGUUCUUCCAGUAACAUUAAUAGAAUGUUCGUUCAACGUUAUCUAGUCUAUAUUAAUGUUCUCAAAUUGUUAUCUAUUCAUCGUUUAUAGAAUGUUUCAUUUCUGAAACGUUCAUGUAACAUUUUUUAAAUGUUACUAGUUUCAGAACAUUCAGAAAACAUUCUAAUGUAAUGUUCCCUUAAUGUUCGCAUAACCAAGAAAAACUGGACGUUUUGAAUAUUCUAAGAACAUUCAGGAAUAAUGUUUUCAAAACUAAAUGGGAAUGUUAGCAAACGUUCCUUAUAAAACCAUUAGAGACAGACCUACUGUGAGCUACGAGGUUGCCAAUCGAUCGAAUAUGCUUUUAUUGAAGACAUCGGCCUGCAUAAUUUCAGAAUAUUUAUUUUAUCUAAUGUGUUUAAUAGCAGAAUUUCUGGUGAAAAACAACAUUACCCAUGAUUCCGAAGAGAAAUCUCCAUUAAUCAGAUAAUCGAAACAAGAAAAAUCACACCAAAACAACUCUUUAAAACACACUUUUUUUUGUAACAAACUUAAUCUUUCUAUAUACGGUACAUAAUCAACAGUUUUUAUAUUUACCCACUUUUUGAUUUGUCGUUUGCAAUGCCUCAUGGGAUUGUAGUUCUUUCCCUCAUUAAAGCUGUUUCUCUGCAUUUUAAAGAGUUAUUUUUGCGUGACUCUUAUUUUGAUUCUCUGAUUGAUGGCGAUUUCUCAUCAGAAAUAUGGAUAAUAUAGCUUUUCACCAUGAAUUCUGCUAUCAAACACAGUCUGUGACCUUGUUGUCCAGUACUAUUUUGCUGCAGAUCAGAGUUUGUAAUGCUGCGAUUCACCUUGUAGCUGUGUGGUUGGGUUCUUGGCUUAUGACUCUCAACCAAAAACUUUCUGAACCCCCUAUGAGAAAACAACUAAUUGGAAAAAUACUUUUUAAAACCAAGGCUGCUAAAAUAAAAGUGGGUGGCCACUGUUGCA